rnacentral:piRNA from 1 species
UCUUUGUUCAUCCUGCCUACUGCUCAGACA